AAAACUCGUAAUUGAUCCUGGUGGGAGGUAACUGCUGAUCUGCUGUCAGUAGGGCCAGCCUUUUGUUGUAUUGGCUCUUUAGGCCACAGCUGCAGGCACAAAGUUUAUGCCAUGGUUGCUGAUGGACCACUUGACAUCAAUAAAAAA